CUUGUGGGAGUAUGUCGCUUAGUCUGGUAGCGUAAAUUUUAGCGAAGAGUUUUGUGUCUGUAUUGAGUAAUGAAAUCUGGCGAAAGUUUUGCGGUUGUGUUGGUGGUUUACCGGGUUUAGGAAGCGUGAUUAUGUGUGCUUUCAGUGCCUCCUGGGGCAGUGCUCGUUUUAAAACUGCCUCAUUAAAUGCUUUUGUUAUGUAUGGA